rnacentral:rRNA from 1 species
CCUACGGGUGGCAGCAGUGAGGAAUAUUGGUCAAUGGGCUUACGCCUGAACCAGCCAAGUCGCGUGAGGGAAGACUGCCCUAUGGGUUGUAAACCUCUUUUGUCAGGGAGCAACGCCGGCUACGUGUAGCCGGACUGAGAGUACCUGAAGAAAAAGCAUCGGCGAACUCCGUGCCAGCAGCCGCGGUAAUACGGAGGAUGCGAGCGUUAUCCGGUUUUAUUGGGUUUAAAGGGUGCGUAGGCGGAAUGCCAAGUCAGCGGUAAAAUCGCGGGGCUCAACCUCGCUCCGCCGUUGAAACUGGCGGUCUUGAGUGGGCGAGAAGUAUGCGGAAUGCGUGGUGUAGCGGUGAAAUGCAUAGAGAUCACGCAGAACUCCGAUUGCGAAGGCAGCAUACCGGCGCUCAACUGACGCUCAUGCACGAAAGUGUGGGUAUCGAACAGGAUUAGAUACCCUUGUAGUC